GCGGUCGUGGCGGAAUUGGUAGACGCGCAGCGUUGAGGUCGCUGUGGUAGAUUAUACCGUGGAAGUUCGAGUCUUCUCGACCGCACCA
rnacentral:tRNA from 1 species